UGGCACAGGGAUUGGAGGGGUCAAGGCCUAGGUCCACUGCUGGCUGGGUAUCAGGAUUGGACAGCUGGGCCCAGGCUGAGGGAGGCCAAAGGGGCCAGACAAGCAGCAGGACUACAUUUUCCCAAAGGGAGCACACAGGGACAAGAAACCAGGUCUAGUUCCCUGGCCCUGGUGAUAAUCCUGGAAAAGAUUUAGAAAAAGGGGCCUGGCAGGGACAGAGACGACAGGAGGGCCAAAGAAAGGCACAGCGUGAAGGGACCCAAGAUGGGUGCUCGUGAGGUGGGGGCCAGGACCCCAGAAAAGAGCCCAGGC
rnacentral:lncRNA from 1 species